rnacentral:rRNA from 1 species
GAUGAACGCUGGCGGCGUGCUUAACACAUGCAAGUCGAACGGUGAAGGCGGAGCUUGCUCUGCUGGAUCAGUGGCGAACGGGUGAGUAACACGUGAGCAAUCUGCCCCUGACUCUGGGAUAAGCGCUGGAAACGGCGUCUAAUACUGGAUACGAGCUGCGAAGGCAUCUUCAGCAGCUGGAAAGAAUUUCGGUCAGGGAUGAGCUCGCGGCCUAUCAGCUUGUUGGUGAGGUAAUGGCUCACCAAGGCGUCGACGGGUAGCCGGCCUGAGAGGGUGACCGGCCACACUGGGACUGAGACACGGCCCAGACUCCUACGGGAGGCAGCAGUGGGAAUAUUGCACAAUGGGCGAAAGCCUGAUGCAGCAACGCCGCGUGAGGGACGACGGCCUUCGGGUUGUAAACCUCUUUUAGCAGGGAAGAAGCGAAAGUGACGGUACCUGCAGAAAAAGCGCCGGCUAACUACGUG